rnacentral:rRNA from 1 species
UGACGAUGCGACGCCGCGUGAGCGAAGAAGGCCCUAGGGUUGUAAAGCUCUGUCAGGGGUUAAGAAAUGUAGAUAGGUUAAUACCCUGUUUAUUUGACAAAAGCCCCAAAGGAAGCCACGGCUAACUCUGUGCCAGCAGCCGCGGUAAUACAGAGGUGGCAAGCGUUGUUCGGUAUUAUUGGGCGUAAAGAGCACGUAGGUGGUUUUGUAAGUCAGAUGUGAAAGCCUUCUGUUCAAAGGAAGAACGGCAUCUGAAACUGCAGAUCUUGAGUGUAGGAGGGGAGAGUGGAACUUCUGGUGGAGCGGUGAAAUGCGUAGAUAUCAGAAGGAACGUCGGCGGCGAAAGCGACUCUCUGGCCUAUUACUGACACUGAGUGUGCGAAAGUUAGGGGAGCAAACGGGAUUAGAUACCCCGGUAGUCCUAACCGUAAACGAUGGGCACUAAGUAGAGGG